AAUAAGUGCAGUUUUGCACUGUUCAUGUCCAACGCAGAUUGUCCAUCUUAUUUAAUUUUUUUUAUGAUUAGUAUUUUUGUUAUUAUUAGAUGAUAAAAUAUGAAUAAUACUUUAUUUGUGACUAAUUUUUUUAAUUUUUUUCAUAAUUUUUUUAAAUAAGACGGAUGGUCAAACAUUGGACACACAUAUCCACGACUGCGUUUAUU
rfam:Oryza punctata chromosome 2, whole genome shotgun sequence.